rnacentral:rRNA from 1 species
CCUACGGGAGGCAGCAGUGGGGAAUAUUGGACAAUGGGCGAAAGCCUGAUCCAGCCAUGCCGCGUGUGUGAAGAAGGCCUUCGGGUUGUAAAGCACUUUCAGUGGGGAAGAAAGCCUUGGGGCUAAUACCCUCGAGGAAGGACAUCACCCACAGAAGAAGCACCGGCUAACUCCGUGCCAGCAGCCGCGGUAAUACGGAGGGUGCGAGCGUUAAUCGGAAUUACUGGGCGUAAAGCGCGCGUAGGCGGUCUGAUAAGCCGGUUGUGAAAGCCCCGGGCUCAACCUGGGAACGGCAUCCGGAACUGUCAGGCUAGAGUGCAGGAGAGGAAGGUAGAAUUCCCGGUGUAGCGGUGAAAUGCGUAGAGAUGGGAGGAAUACCAGUGGCGAAGGCGGCCUUCUGGACUGACACUGACGCUGAGGUGCGAAAGCGUGGGUAGCAAACAGGAUUAGAUACCCGAGUAGUC